rnacentral:misc_RNA from 1 species
UUUCUCUAGUGUUAACUUAAAGCGUACAAAUAUAUGUCUUGUUUACUGGUGUGAUAAUUCUACAAUAAUUGAAAUUCUUUGAUUUACCGGUUUGUGUAGCUCGAAAUUUGAGCGAAACGUUUAGGGUUUUCAUAGUGGCAAAAUCUGUUAAUUUUUUGCAGUGAAAUUGAAAUGCAUUUUUGUAUUUGGCAAAAACUUUAAUCUAAUGCAUUGACAAAACAUGUUGGAAAUGGAUGCAGCAAUUAGAGAUGAGGAUUCCAAUCACAAUAUGGCAACAUCAGCAUCCAAUAACAGUUCUGCUGUAUCCACGAUUUUACAGAUGUGUCAAUCAAGCUGCACUGAUUACGUUGGGGUUUUGCCUCCACCUCACAUCGACAUGGUAAGCGUGAAUAGCGUUGAACUAAAUGCUCAAACAUCUUUAAGUGAUGAUUCUGGCGUGCCACUUACGACUAACAGUUCAAUAUCUAGUGGAGACUCAUAUAGAAUGGGAUUAUGUAAACAUGACAUUGAUAUUGUGGAAAGUGAUGGUGAAGUCUCCCAGUUUGAUUCUCUAGAUAAUUGUUCAGAGGCUGGCAUGAGUGCGGAAAAUUUUAAUACAUUAAAAAAAGGACCUUUAGCACCAAUAGAUCCUCCACUAGAGUUUCAGGACUCACCAAAUAUAACAAUUGGCCGAUGCAUUAUGCAAAAACUACGACGAUUAUCUUCUUCACACUCUUCUUUGGAACAUUCAAAAGAUUCUGAACAUAAUGAAAAUAGUAUUAACGGGGACAGAAUUUUUUGUAAAGACUCCGACGUAGAAGCCUCACCCCAAUAUUUUGCGAAGUCGCACAAAGAAGUUUACCUCAUAAAGAAACCAAUAUACUCAAGUGAUUCCAUUCUAAGUAAUAAAGUAGAAAAUGUGUAUGACGAGCCAAGCAACCUGAUAUGUAAUUUCGCUUUUAAUAAUGCUGAAAAUUUUGAGUCAAAUACGUCUUCAAAUGCACUGUUAUUACCACAAACUUCACAUCCCCCGGAGAGAGUAAAAAGAGAUAUUUGUCCAUUUUAUCAAGAUCAUUCUAUGUAUUUUAAAGCAAUACCGUCAGAUCAAGAUAGUGUUAUAAGUGCUGUUAAGAAGUUUAAUACAUUUGGGCUCUCAGAAAUUCAUGAUUAUGAUCUCUAUUAUGGAAUUAGGCGAAACACCUUUCAAGGGGAAAACGGUUUACAAAAAAAAGUUUUGUACAGUCCUCGUAAAGUAACAAAUUAUUGUCAUAAUCAUCAUAUAUAUACAGGUCCAAAUGGGUGCACCAAUCGACCUAAUUCUCGCAAUUCUUUGAACAGUCGUCUUUCGAGUUCACAUAAUUCAUUAAGCACUUCAUCGGCAAAUAAACCAGAUGAUUCGAUAUUCAUUACUCAAGCAAUGUCCCACGAUGCUUUACUUACUCGGGAAAUAUCUGAUUUUUAUAACGUGCCCAUAGAUUCAGAUAUAUACGCUCUACCAAUAGAUAUGAUAAAAACGGAUAAAAAUAGCAGAGUUGAGUACAAAGAAGAUAAGCUUACGGAUUAUAGAAAAAUAAAUAAUUUAAUAUUCACUGAAGAGGACUAUUAUAAGCAUUCUAAACUAAGUCGUAAAAAUAAUAGAAACAAACGGAAAAAACGAAACAGUGAUACUUACGAAAAUGAUAUAAAAUAUGAUAAUUAUAAGUUCACUUCAAAUGCUUUCAAAUUAAAAAAUAAAAAGCCAGCUGUUUUGAAUGAAACUGAGGAUUAUGGCACGCAUAGAUUUUCUAAUACUCAAUUAGAUUUGAAUCCACCUCAAGAACGACUCCAUAUGACUUUGAGCGAAGUAAAAAAAUAUUAUCAAACUAUUUAUACUAGAACAAAAAACCGGACAAGUAUUAAUAAUGAACCUGAUAAAACUGCUUUCAAAAAACAGUCCGAAUGCACGAAAGGUAAUGAUUCAUCCCCACGUUCCAGGCCUAAUCUUUGUUCUAUCGGAGAAAAUGUUUCUACAGAAUGUAAAGUAACCACCAGAACUUUCAAAAGCUAUAACGAAAAUAAUGAUAAAAUCAAUAACAACAAUAUAAAUAACAUCGUGUUGGCCAAUAAUUAUAGUAUUACUGAAAACCAAAUGAUAAAAGUUGAGGAAGUGGAUUUAUCUUCUCAUGUCAUACGAAGCGAGAAGAAAACACAAUUUUCACUAAAUUUAAAACAAAAGUUUUGUAAUAUAUUUCGAAUUCGACGGACACAACCGCAAUGUCAAACAAACCCGCCCGGUAUUGAAGAAAAUAACAGUAAUCGCGAAAGAAGAAGCACUGCAGAAAAACACAAAAAAUUUCAAUCUAGAGCACUGCCUCCAUUACCCAAGAAGACUGAGUCUUAUAUAGAGCAAAGCAGAGGAAACUCCACAAAAAAAGAGGAAGUAAGGUCUCUUCAAUUCACAUCUAGCAUUGAGAAAGUUAAGGAUGUAAGAUUAUGGAUGGUACUGGGGUCCAUUAUCAAGCGAGGCCGCGGAGAAAGUCCUUUCAACAGAAUCAGAUGGAAGCUUCAUUGUACGUGACAGUUCUGACGAUCAUUACAUUUUUUCCCUAAGUUUUAAACUAAAUAAUAGUGUUCGUCAUGUUCGAAUAGAACAGGAUCAAGGGACGUUUUCAUUCGGUUCAUAUG